AACGAACGCUGGCGGCAUGCCUAACACAUGCAAGUCGAACGAGACCCUUCGGGUCUAGUGGCGCACGGGUGCGUAACGCGUGGGAAUCUGCCCUUCGGUUCGGAAUAACAGUGGGAACUACUGCUAAUACCGGAUAAUGACGUAAGUCCAAAGAUUUAUCGCCGAGGGAUGAGCCCGCGUAGGAUUAGCUAGUUGGUGGGUAAAGG
rnacentral:rRNA from 1 species